CCUACGGGGGGCAGCAGUCGAGAAUCAUUCACAAUGGGGGAAACCCUGAUGGUGCGACGCCGCGUGGGGGAAUGAAGGUCUUCGGAUUGUAAACCCCUGUCAUGUGGGAGCAAAUUAAAAAGAUAGUACCACAAUAGGAAGAGACUGCUAACUCUGUGCCAGCAGCCGCGGUAAUACAGAGGUCUCAAGCGUUGUUCGGAAUCACUGGGCGUAAAGCGUUCGUAGGCUGUUUCGUAAGUCGUGUGUGAAAGUCGCGGGCUCAACCCGCAGACGGCACAUGAUACUGCGAGACUAGAGUAAGGGAGGGGGAAACGGAAUUCUGGGUGUAGCAGUGAAAUGCGUAGAUAUCGAGAGGAACACUCGGGGCGAAGGCGGGUUCCUGGACAUUAACUGACGCUGAGGCACGAAGGCCAGGGGAGCGAAAGGGAUUAGAUACCCUAGUAGUC
rnacentral:rRNA from 1 species